rnacentral:rRNA from 1 species
CGGCUCAGUAACACGUGGAUAACCUACCCUUGAGACGGGGAUAAACCCGGGAAACUGGGUAUAAUACCCGAUAGAUCUCGACUGCUGGAAUGCAUCGAGCUUGAAAGCUCCGGCGCUCAAGGAUGGGUCUGCGGCCUAUCAGGUAGUAGUGGGUGUAGCGUACCUACUAGCCUACGACGGGUACGGGUUGUGAGAGCAAGAGCCCGGAGAUGGAUUCUGAGACACGAAUCCAGGCCCUACGGGGUGCAGCAGGCGCGAAAACUUUACAAUGCUGGAAACAGCGAUAAGGGGACCUCGAGUGCCAGGUUACAAAUCUGGCUGUCGUGAUGCCUAAAAAGCAUUGCGUAGCAAGGGCCGGGCAAGACCGGUGCCAGCCGCCGCGGUAACACCGGCGGCUCGAGUGGUAACCGUUAUUAUUGGGUCUAAAGGGUCUGUAGCCGGCCGGAUAAGUCUCUUGGGAAAUCUGGCAGCUUAACUGUCAGGCUUUCAGGAGAUACUGUCUGGCUCGAGGCCGGGAGAGGUGAGAGGUACAUCAGGGGUAGGGGUGAAAUCUUGUAAUCCUUGAAGGACCACCAGUGGCGAAGGCGUCUCACCAGAACGGACCUGACGGCAAGGGACGAAAGCUAGGGGCACGAACCGGAUUAGAUACCCGGGUAGUCCCAGCUGUAAACG